rnacentral:tRNA from 1 species
GGAGAUGUAGCUCAAUGGUAGAGCUCUUGCUUGCAUGUGUAAGAUCCUGGGUUAAAUUCCCAGCACAAUCC